rnacentral:rRNA from 1 species
AUUGAACGCUGGCGGAAUGCUUUACACAUGCAAGUCGAACGGCAGCACGGGGGCAACCCUGGUGGCGAGUGGCGAACGGGUGAGUAAUACAUCGGAACGUGCCCGGUCGUGGGGGAUAACGUAGCGAAAGUUACGCUAAUACCGCAUACGAUCUGAGGAUGAAAGCGGGGGACCUUCGGGCCUCGCGCGAUCGGAGCGGCCGAUGUCAGAUUAGGUAGUUGGUGGGGUAAAGGCCUACCAAGCCGACGAUCUGUAGCUGGUCUGAGAGGGCGACCAGCCACACUGGGACUGAGACACGGCCCAGACUCCUACGGGAGGCAGCAGUGGGGAAUUUUGGACAAUGGGCGCAAGCCUGAUCCAGCCAUUCCGCGUGCAGGACGAAGGCCUUCGGGUUGUAAACUGCUUUUGUAUGGAACGAAAAGGCUCUGGCUAAUACCUGGGGCUCAUGACGGUACCGUAAGAAUAAGCACCGGCUAACUACGUG